rnacentral:sRNA from 1 species
AUACAAAACUAUAGCAACAAAGUUUUAGAUACUUAAUUGCUUCCUUUAAUCUCAAACCAUUUGGUUGAAUCUAUCAAGUACACAGGACAUAUGCUCAUUCAAAUUGGGUAACUAAGAGCACCCCCAACGCUGGACUCUAUGAAAAUCCCUUAAAAACAUACAAAUAAUAAUAUUUUAAUCUUAUUAGGGCUUCUGUAUAAUUUGACCAAUAAUAAAAACACAUGUAUAUAAUUUUCUCGAGACUGUCCCUUAAAUAAAGAAUUUUAGGGCCUCUCUCUCUUCUUACACUUACCUUUUAAUUAUUUUUCAUUCUUUUUAUCAUUAGAAAUUUUGUUAAGGGACCACCGUUGGUGGUCCUCUAAUCACGCAUGGAGUCUAGACGAAAUAAGAAACGCAUUAAUAAGACAUAUAUUAUUUUUUGGUGAAAGUAUAAUGUAGACAAAAAAAAAAGAUAAAGCUUUUGUUUUCUUAGACAUAACCCAAAGAACAUACCAUAUAUAUAGCAGAAUUAGAUUAAAAACAGUCAGAUCAGAAAACAAAACAAUCUGAAUAGCUAAUUGCACAAAAAGCUAGGGUUUUGUUAAGGAUUUUCCGAGUUUAAUACCGGGAACUGAUCCUCGUGAAUUGUCGAGAUAGCGCUUAAUGUUUUGUA